rnacentral:tRNA from 1 species
AAUUAGAAAGCGAAGAAUUGCAUUUAGUUUCGACCUAAACCUUAGGCCACAAAGCCUUCUAAUUU